rnacentral:rRNA from 1 species
UACGUAGGGCGCAAGCGUUGUCCGGAAUUAUUGGGCGUAAAGAGCUCGUAGGCGGUCUGUUACGUCCGCUGUGAAAACCCAGGGCUUAACCCUGGGCUUGCAGUGGAUACGGGCAGACUAGAGGCAGGUAGGGGAGAAUGGAAUUCCCGGUGUAGCGGUGAAAUGCGCAGAUAUCGGGAGGAACACCGGUGGCGAAGGCGGUUCUCUGGGCCUGACCUGACGCUGAGGAGCGAAAGCGUGGGGAGCGAACGGG